rnacentral:rRNA from 1 species
GGCUGACGUUACUAUAACGGUCCUAUGGUAGCGAAAUUCCUUGUCGGGUAAGUUCCGACCUGCUCGAAUGGUGUAACCAUGGCCAGGCUGUCUCCACCCGAGACUCAGUGAAAUUGAAAUCGCAGUGAAGAUGCUGUGUACCCGCGGCUAGACGGAAAGACCCCGUGAACCUUUACUACAGCUUGGCACUGAACAUUGAACCUACAUGUGUAGAAAACGUUGGACACAUAAAAAAAAAAAAAAAAAAUUGUGUGGAGUCAACCUUGAAAUACCACCCUUGUAGUUUUGAUGUUCUAACGUAGG